UCCUGGGUGGCUCAGGUAAAGAAUCUGCCUGCAAUGCAGGAGAUCUAGGUUCCAUCCCUGGGUCAGGAA
rnacentral:tRNA from 1 species